UUCUGCAUUCCCACUACAUUGUGCGGUUUAAAUCUCUCUCUUCUGUUCCUCUCAGGCCACAGCGAGACGAGUUCUUGGUCUGGAGGCCCUUCUUGAUGCACAUCCCUGACGCAGGUGUAGGCACCAUCCUUGGACCUCAGCAUGCGGAAGCAAGGCCCUAAGGCAUUUGGUAAAGCUGGUGUGGCUGUGGGUUCCCCUGUGUGGGGACAGCAAAGACACUGGACACCUGGAACAAAGCGGUGUGUCACCUCGCCCCCCAAGGUGUGGGGACAGGCACUGACUGAAGUCACAGCAAACGGUGCUGGCACUGCCCUGGAUGCUGAGAAACACACCCGCUGCUUUCAGAGCGCCUUUCCCUCCGUCCUCUCCUUUCUAAUGAAAGCCCUCCUGUAAUCUGUUA